CUCAGGACGAACGCUGGCGGCGUGCUUAACACAUGCAAGUCGAACGGAAAGGCCCUUCGGGGUACUCGAGUGGCGAACGGGUGAGUAACACGUGGGUGAUCUGCCCUGCACUUUGGGAUAAGCCUGGGAAACUGGGUCUAAUACCGAAUAUGACCGCGCACUUCCUGGUGUGUGGUGGAAAGCUUUUGCGGUGUGGGAUGGGCMCGCGGCCUAUCAGCUUGUUGGUGGGGUAAUGGCCUACCAAGGCGACGACGGGUAGCCGGCCUGAGAGGGUGACCGGCCACACUGGGACUGAGAUACGGCCCAGACUCCUACGGGAGGCAGCAGUGGGGAAUAUUGCACAAUGGGCGCAAGCCUGAUGCAGCGACGCCGCGUGAGGGAUGACGGCCUUCGGGUUGUAAACCUCUUUCAAUAGGGAYGAAGCGCAAGUGACGGUACCUAUAGAAGAAGGACCGGCCAACUACGUGCCAGCAGCCGCGGUAAUACGUAGGGUCCGAGCGUUGUCCGGAAUUAMUGGGCGUAAAGAGCUCGUAGGUGGUUUGUCGCGUUGUUMGUGAAAACUCACAGCUUAACUGUGGGCGUGCGRSCGAUACGGGCAGACUAGAGUACUGCAGGGGAGACUGGAAUUCCUGGUGUAGCGGUGGAAUGCGCAGAUAUCAGGAGGAACACCGGUGGCGAAGGC
rnacentral:rRNA from 1 species